GACGAACGCUGGCGGCGUGCCUAAUACAUGCAAGUAGAACGCUGAAGGAGGAGCUUGCUUCUCUGGAUGAGUUGCGAACGGGUGAGUAACGCGUAGGUAACCUGCCUGGUAGCGGGGGAUAACUAUUGGAAACGAUAGCUAAUACCGCAUAAGAGUAGAUGUUGCAUGACAUUUGCUUAAAAGGUGCAAUUGCAUCACUACCAGAUGGACCUGCGUUGUAUUAGCUAGUUGGUGGGGUAACGGCUCACCAAGGCGACGAUACAUAGCCGCACGGAGAUGGGGAGCGGCCACACUGGGACUGUGACACGGCCCAGACUCCUACGGGAAGCAGCAGUAGGGAAUCUUCGGCAAUGGACGGAAGUCUGACCGAGCAACGCCGCGGGAGUGAAGAAGGUUGUCGGAUCGUAAAGCUCGGUUGUAAGAGAAGAACGAGUGUGAGAGUGGAAAGUUCACACUGUGACGGUAUCUUACCAGAAAGGGACGGCUAACUACGUG
rnacentral:rRNA from 1 species